UGAGGAAUAUUGGUCAAUGGACGCAAGUCUGAACCAGCCAUGCCGCGUGAAGGACGAAGGCCUUCUGGGUUGUAAACUUCUUUUAUUGGGGAAGAAAAUUAUGGUUUCUACUAUAACCGACGGUACCCAAGGAAUCAGCACCGGCUAACUCCGUGCCAGCAGCCGCGGUAAUACGGAGGGUGCAAGCGUUAUCCGGAUUCACUGGGUUUAAAGGGUGUGUAGGCGGGUAUUUAAGUCAGUGGUGAAAUCUCCAGGCUCAACCUGGAAACUGCCAUUGAUACUAUUUAUCUUGAAUCUUGUUGAGGUGGGCGGAAUAUAUCAUGUAGCGGUGAAAUGCUUAGAUAUGAUAUAGAACACCGAUUGCGAAGGCAGCUCACUAAACAAGCAUUGACGCUGAGGCACGAAAGCGUGGGGAUCAAACA
rnacentral:rRNA from 1 species